AUUGAUUUCCACAUGAGAACACACAAGCAUGUGGGUAGGGAAGAAUCUCAUGAAGAACAAUAGAGAAGAGAUGAUAAUUAUGAUUUGGCAAAAAGUUAAAAGUAUAUAUAUAAAAAUAAAUAAAAGAUAUGAAAUUAUGGGGUUAGAAGUGUUUCUUUUGUACUAGUCCAUACGACUCUAACUUUACCAGCGAAGCAUGUCCACGAACGAACAGAAAACAUGAAAAGUAUAUAUGGUGAGGAAAUUUUGACGUACUAAACAGAAAUUUGGUGGCAGUAAGAAGUGGAAGAUUAAACAGUUUAUAUAAUUAGAAAAAGGGUGGAAAUUGGUACGAAUGGAAAGUGCUGUGUUUAUGGGAUUUUGCAGAGUUACUUUGUGAAAAGAAAGUGGUAUUAGCAUUAGCCUAGGAAAAUGUUCUUCCUUACCCAACCACAACAGAUGCUCCUAAGAUACACACACAUCCUAUCUUAUCUCUGCCCU
rnacentral:lncRNA from 1 species